AGCUUUGGGCAAUGGCAGUAUCAUAGCCAAUGAGGUUUAUCCAAGGCGUGAUUAUUACUAAUUGAAAAACAAAACCAAAAACAAAAAUUGCCUAUUUAAACAUGUUUUGAGAUUUAUUAUUUUGGUGGAGAGUGUUGAGACAG